rnacentral:rRNA from 1 species
UACGUAGGGUGCAAGCGUUAUCCGGAAUUAUUGGGCGUAAAGAGCUCGUAGGCGGUCUGUCGCGUCUGCUGUGAAAACCCGGGGCUCAACCCCGGGCUUGCAGUGGAUACGGGCAGACUAGAGUUCGGUAGGGGAGACUGGAAUUCCUGGUGUAGCGGUGAAAUGCGCAGAUAUCAGGAGGAACACCGGUGGCGAAGGCGGGUCUCUGGGCCGAUACUGACGCUGAGGAGCGAAAGCGUGGGGAGCGAACAGG